GAAAAGAAAGGACGGAAGGAUCAUGGUGUGGGGAGGACCUCAGCCCCGCGCGGUUGCCCGGCGCGCGGACCCUAGCGGACUAGGGCGCCCCAGCAGCCCGGCGCCCGAGAUGGCGCCGCCCCGAAUCCCGCCUGCUUCCCGUUCCGGGCCGCGCCUGGAGGCGGAGCCGCCCGCGAAGCUAAAUGCGGCGGAGGCCGGGCGGGGUGGGGUUUCCCCGCGCCGCAGCCAUGGAACAGCCCCGUGCCGCCGCCCGCCUGCAGAUCGUCCUGGGCCACCUCGGCCGCCCCUCGGCCGGGGCCGUCGUAGCUCAUCCCACUUCAGGGACUAUUUCCUCUGCCAGUUUCCAUCCUCAACAAUUCCAGUAUACUCUGGAUAAUAAUGUUCUAACCCUGGAACAGAGAAAAUUUUAUGAAGAAAAUGGGUUUCUAGUAAUCAAAAAUCUUGUACCUGAUGCUGACAUUCAAUGCUUUCGGAAUGAAUUUGAAAAAAUCUGCAGAAAGGAGGUGAAACCAUUAGGAUUAACAGUAAUGAGAGAUGUGACCAUUUCGAAAUCAGAAUAUGUUCCAAGUGAGAAGAUGAUCACGAAGGUCCAGGAUUUCCAGGAAGAUAAGGAGCUCUUCAGAUACUGCACUCUCCCGGAGAUUCUGAAAUAUGUGGAGUGCUUCACUGGACCUAAUAUUAUGGCCAUGCACACAAUGUUGAUAAACAAACCUCCAGAUUCUGGCAAGAAGACGUCCCGUCAUCCCCUGCACCAGGACCUGCACUAUUUCCCCUUCAGGCCCAGCGAUCUCAUCGUUUGCGCCUGGACGGCGAUGGAGCACAUUGACCGGAACAAUGGCUGUCUGGUUGUGCUCCCAGGCACACACAAGGGCUCCCUGAAGCCCCACAAUUACCCCAAGUGGGAGGGGGGAGUUAAUAAAAUGUUCCACGGGAUCCAGGACUACGAGGAAAACAAAGCCCGGGUGCACCUGGUGAUGGAGAAGGGAGACACCGUUUUCUUCCAUCCUUUGCUCAUCCACGGAUCUGGUCAGAACAAAACCCAGGGAUUCCGGAAGGCAAUUUCCUGCCAUUUCGCCAGUGCCGAUUGCCACUACAUCGACGUGAAGGGCACCAGUCAAGAAAACAUCGAGAAGGAAGUUGUAGGAAUAGCAAAUAAAUUAUAUGGAGCUGAAAAUAGCGUGGACUUGAAGGGCUCUGGGACCUGCGGCCCCAGGGGUUUGUGUUUGGCUUGGCAGCGAGCAUCGGCUGGGAGCAGUGCAUCAGAAGUGGGGACCCAGGAGGGUGCAGGACGCCUGGUCUGCCCUGUGGGUCCUGGACGGAGCCCCUACCUCUGCAAAGAUGACUUGGAGACAGGCCGUCCUGCUGUCUUGCUUCUCCGCCGUGGUGCUGCUGUCUAUGCUGAGAGAGGCAACCUGUGCAUCUGUGGGGACCACGCAGGCGGCGGGAGAAGAGGCGAGUGAAGAUGCAAAACAGAAGAUUUUCAUGCAGGAAUCAGAUGCCUCGAAUUUCCUCAAGAGGCGCGGCAAGCGGUCCCCCAAGUCCCGAAAUGAGGUCAAUGCGGAAAACAGGCAGAAGCUUCGGGCUGAUGAGCUGCGGAGAGAAUAUUACGAGGAACAAAGGAAUGAAUUUGAGAACUUCGUGGAGGAACAAAACGAUGAGCAGGAAGAGAGGAGCCGGGAGGCUGUGGAGCAGUGGCGCCAGUGGCACUAUGACGGCCUGCACCCAUCCUAUCUCUACAACCGCCACCACAUCUGAUCCCAUCCUGAAGCCAGCCAAGAAGACGAAGCUUGUAGCACACAUUGGCAUCCCCGUGUUCCAGCAAUCUUUCCCAUGCAAACCGGCCCUUCAGAAGGUCUCAGCUUGGGGUCUGCAGUGGCCAGCAGCUCUGGAAAAUACACAUGCCUUUCCUUCCAGUGUAUGUAAGUGCCCUGGCUUUCACCUCUUUGCAGACCAUCUUCUGAGGUGAGCAACUGCCUGCGGGGCCUCCUAGCACCAUACCUACAGUGGCUUCCCCUGGCUUCAUUCCCAAGCAAAAGCGUCACAGUCAAGAAUCACAUGUUUGCUUAUGGCUUACAAAUAAAAACGCUGAAUCAAU